CCAUCAUCAAACAUCAGCAAGUUGCUCAAAAAACAUUGCACAAGAAGGUCCAGGUACAGUAUGUGCAUGAGGAACUGAGGUUUCAUAAAAGACUUCGGUUAUAGGGCAACACACAGCCGUAGUGUCAAAACAGAUGGCAGUCAGCGAAAGAGCUUCAAAAAGGCUGGAAAGUAGUGAGGGAGGAGAGAGGAACCACUCCGUUUUACCUUUCGUGCGGCGAGUGACUGGAUUUCAGUUUAAUGCCCUCCAGCAGUUCACACGCUUUGUUAAGCUUCAGCCGUCCCAGUGUGACACUCUAUGUGUUUGACUGUCUCUCUGGCAGCAGGUGGGAGGGUAGCAGAAGAAACGCACGAGCCCCAGACUGUGGCGUUUGGUGUGGCCCUCGCUCUCUGUUCUGUUCUGAGUGUGACGCGGAGAAAAAAACAAAACAAUAAUAAAGGAGAAACUAAAGGGGAAGUUGGAUAUC